rnacentral:rRNA from 1 species
UUCCGGUUGAUCCUGCCGGACCUGACUGCUAUCGGAUUGAUACUAAGCCAUGCGAGUCAUUGUAGUAAUACAAGGCAGACGGCUCAGUAACGCGUAGUCAACCUAACCUAUGGACGGGGAUAACCUCGGGAAACUGAGAAUAAUACCCGAUAGAACAUUAUGCCUGGAAUGGUUUAUGUUUCAAAUAAUUUAUUGCCGUAGGAUGGGACUGCGGCCUAUCAGUUUGUUGGUGAGGUAAUGGCCCACCAAGACUAUUACAGGUACGGGCUCUGAGAGGAGUAGCCCGGAGAUGGGUACUGAGACACGGACCCAGGCCCUAUGGGGCGCAGCAGGCGAGAAAACUUUGCAAUGUGCGAAAGCACGACAAGGUUAAUCCGAGUGGUUUCUGCUAAAGGAACCUCUUGCCAGUCCUAGAAACACUGGUGAAUAAGGGGUGGGCAAGUUCUGGUGUCAGCCGCCGCGGUAAAACCAGCACCUCAAGUGGUCAGGAUGAUUAUUGGGCCUAAAGCAUCCGUAGCCUGCUUUGUUAGUUUUCGGUUAAAUCCAUUCGCUCAACGAAUGGGCUGCCGGGAAUACUGCAAAGCUAGGGAGUGGGAGAGGUAGACGGUACUCGGUAGGAAGGGGUAAAAUCCUUUGAUCUAUUGAUGACCACCUGUGGCGAAGGCGGUCUACCAGAACACGUCCGACGGUGAGGGAUGAAAGCUGGGGGAGCAAACCGGAUUAGAUACCCGGGUAGUCCCAGCUGUAAACUGUGCAAACUCAGUGAUGCAUUGGCUUGAUGCCAAUGCAGUGCUGCAGGGAAGCCGUUAAGUUUGCCGCCUGGGAAGUACGUACGCAAGUAUGAAGCUUAAAGGAAUUGGCGGGGCAGCAC